AGGACGAACGCUGGCGGCGUGCUUAACACAUGCAAGUCGAGCGGAAAGGCCCCUUCGGGGUACUCGAGCGGCGAACGGGUGAGUAACACGUGAGCAACCUGCCCUUAGCUCCGGGAUAGCUCCGGGAACCGGAAUUAAUACCGGAUACGACCACAGCCGACAUCUGCUGUGGUGGAAAGGAUUCCGGCUAAGGAUGGGCUCGCGGCCUAUCAGCUAGUUGGUGGAGUAACGGCCCACCAAGGCGACGACGGGUA
rnacentral:rRNA from 1 species